rnacentral:lncRNA from 1 species
AUAGAGCCCUUCAAUAAGUUGAGUAUAAAGGAACAAAUCGUGGAACCACUGCAUUAAGGAGAAAAGUCGUCUUCACAAAACGACAAUUUGCUAUUUGCUUUUAGAAAUGAUGAUACAGAUAAAGCCAUGGAGACAAAGGAAAUGGACUGGAGAACAAAGAAAAAGAUGGGAGGAGAUGGAGCAAGAAAGGGGUGAUUCUUGAGGUGCCGAAGGCCUACGGCCAGGGACAGAGGAAGGAGCAGGAGGGAGAGAACUGUGCCCUCCCGGGCUCACACCAGGGGACACCUACCAACCCGAUGAUCCUGGAGGACAGGGCACAGGGAGCCACUGCUGCCAACUGAAGAAGCUGGUCAUGGCCCCAGGUGCAAAAGUUAAAAGCCCUCGGCAGAAGGAAGGGGGCGGGCCCUCAGGAAGCCUGCUGCCAGCUGGCCUGCUGAAUUUGCUUUGGAAAAAAAGGGUUUCCAGAGAGAGGGGAGCCAUGGAUCUGCCGCCUUUCCCUCAGUGAGCCGGAUAGACAUUGUUGAGUUGGACUCAAUAAAGCGGGUGGAAGAAAAAGGAAGAGGGCCAAGGAAACAUGAACAGAGACGUGAGACCUUCUCCAGCUAAUCCUCCUCCUAUGCCUAGUGGAUUGUGUCCCCUGGCUGCUGGAGGCCUUCAGAGCACCUGAGAGUAAGCAGGCCAAGGGUUUAGCACACUAUCCGGGCUCAGCACAAGGCAAACUGCUACCCUGUUAUUAUUCUGUGAGUUGAUAAGUGAAGGGCAGAGGCCAAGGUGCUCGGCAGCCCUCUCCUUCCUGGGUGCCCACUGAACCCACUGGGCGGGUGGCACAACCCUGGGAGCCAACCUUGACGGUAGGCAGAAAGGUGCCAGCUGGGGAGGGGUCACUCAGUCCCCAGCUCAAAGUCACCUCCUGCCAAGGAGGGUUCCUGGAAACGAUUUAUGAGGCCAGCAAGCCCUUAUUUUGGGCUAAACCUAUUAAUGUUAUGGAAACAUUGAAAAAUAUAGAAAAAUGUUUUUAUAAAGUGAAAAUCACCCUCAAUCCACAAACUAAAGAUAGCUUUAUGUUGGUGUAUUUCCUUCCAGUAUUUACUGUGUCCUUAUAGAGAUGGUAAAAAUAAUCAAAAAGGUUUUCUGCACAAUUUGAAACAUCAUUAAUAGUUGCAUGAUUGUCAAGAUUGUUCUUUUUCUCCCAUUAAAACAGUGUACUUUAUACAUAAGGCUUUGCUCACAGUGUUGUUAACUUCCUGAUAAACCACCUGGUAAAUUUCCAGAAAUAGAGCCACUGGGUCACACAGUGUGGGUCUGUUGCCUAAAACCCUUCUAAAAUGUGG